UCUCCGUUGGUGAACCAGCGGAGGGAUCAUUACCGAGUUUACAACUCCCAAACCCCAAUGUGAACGUUACCAAUCCGUUGCCUCGGCGGGUUAAACUCUUCUGCCCCGGGCGCGUCGCAGCCCCGGACCAAGGCGCCCGCCGGAGGACCAACUCGCAAACUCUUCUUGUAUCAUCCCAUCGCGGAUUUUCUAACGACUUCUGAGCUUUCUCGGCGCCCCUAGCGGGCGUUCCGAAAACGAAUCAAAACUUUCAACAACGGAUCUCUUGGUUCUGGUAUCGAUGAAGAACGCAGC
rnacentral:misc_RNA from 1 species